AUUGAACGCUGGCGGCAGGCCUAACACAUGCAAGUCGAGCGGAGCGGCGGACGGGUGAGUAAUGCCUAGGAAUCUGCCAGGUAGUGGGGGAUAACGUCCGGAAACGGGCGCUAAUACCGCAUCCUAUCAGAUGCGCCUAGGUCGGAUUAGCUAGUUGGUGGGGUAAAGGCCAACCAAGGCGACGAUCCGUAACUGUGCUGAGUGGAUGAUCAGUCACACUGGAACUGAGACACGGUCCAGACUCCUACGGGAGGCAGCAGUGGGGAAUAUUGCACAAUGGGCGAAAGCCUGAUCCAGCCAUGCCGCGUGUAUGAAGAAGGUCUUCGGGUUGUAAAGCACUUUAAGUGGGGAGGCGUUACUAGCAGAAUAAGCACCGGCUAACUUCGUGCCAGCAGCCGCGGUAAUAC
rnacentral:rRNA from 1 species